GCUACCGCGCCAACGGAGCCUUUCAGAACGUUCUCUCCCCGAUGAAAGCCGUCAGUCUGUCGCUAUUUAAACGUGGAGCAUUUCAACAAAAUUUAAAGAGAAACUGGAAGGGUAGGGGUUGGAAUACUGUUUAAAAACACAGCCAGACCUCCUUGCUGGAGCUCCAAGACUCAACAACCACCUUGCAACCUGCUGAAGCCUAUAAGAUGGGUACCAUGAGCAUCCCCACUGAAAAGAUGUGGAAAUGGGAACAGCAAGUCCCAUGGCUACUAAACGGAUGAAGAGGAAUGCAAAGCCGGGUAAUCUGCCUCAAGAGCUCCUUGAUUAUACAUUCACCAUGCUGCCUCUGAAAUUUAGGACACAGUUACCCCUGCAAAAGAAGUAACAUACGGAACCCUGUGAAUUAGGCUGACUUCAUCCUGGAAUCACAGCGGGGCUUAAGGUCCCAGACCGCCAGCAGUAUGGAGAAUGGAGCCAGUAGUGGUGAUUUCUCCAUUUUUGCCUCUUCGUGAGCCUCACCAGCCCAGGCAUGAUGCUCUUUUCCACGUCCUAGGACUUCCCACUCUGACACAGGUCACCCAGUUCAGGAACCUACUCCUCCACACAUCCAUCGGGGGCUCUGUCAACAGCCCCCGAAGCAGGUGCAGACCUGGAAGACUCCGUUUCAUGGUCUGGCACUUUGGCUCCACACUCAUUUUCUACAUUGCUGCUGCAGCUACUGUUCUCCCUUGUGCUCUCUGAAACCACUGCUGACAGAUCCUGAGUGGCCCCUGGCAAAUAGGUAUUCUCAUUAGUGUAAUGUGUCAGUUAAGAGAACCCAGUUACACUAAUUUUCCUCUUUGGGGAUAUUGUGGGACAUCAGUUAUUAUUUCCUGAUUGUUCCAAUUCAGUAGUUUAGUCUAUUGCAAGGGAUUACAUCAAAGAAUGUUAGUCUUCCCAAAAGCAUUAUUGCCAUUUUUGAUCUACAAAAAGUAUUCUACAUUAAUUUGUUUUUGAUCUAAAAAAGGUAUUCUAUA